rnacentral:rRNA from 1 species
AUUGAACGCUGGCGGCAGGCCUAACACAUGCAAGUCGAGCGGAUGAAGGGAGCUUGCUCCUGGAUUCAGCGGCGGACGGGUGAGUAAUGCCUAGGAAUCUGCCUGGUAGUGGGGGAUAACGUCCGGAAACGGGCGCUAAUACCGCAUACGUCCUGAGGGAGAAAGUGGGGGAUCUUCGGACCUCACGCUAUCAGAUGAGCCUAGGUCGGAUUAGCUAGUUGGUGGGGUAAAGGCCUACCAAGGCGACGAUCCGUAACUGGUCUGAGAGGAUGAUCAGUCACACUGGAACUGAGACACGGUGCAGGCUCGUACGGGAGGCAGCAGUGGGGAAUAUUGGACAAUGGGCGAAAGCCUGAUCCAGCCAUGCCGCGUGUGUGAAGAAGGUCUUCGGAUUGUAAAGCACUUUAAGGUGGGAGGAAGGGCAGUAAGUUAAUACCUUGCUGUUUUGACGUUACCAACAGAAUAAGCACCGGCUAACUUCGUG